GACGAACGCUGGCGGCGUGCUUAACACAUGCAAGUCGAACGGAAAGGCCCUGCUUUUGUGGGGUGCUCGAGUGGCGAACGGGUGAGUAACACGUGAGUAACCUGCCCUUGACUUUGGGAUAACUUCAGGAAACUGGGGCUAAUACCGGAUAGGAGCUCCUGCUGCAUGGUGGGGGUUGGAAAGUUUCGGCGGUUGGGGAUGGACUCGCGGCUUAUCAGCUUGUUGGUGGGGUAGUGGCUUACCAAGGCAUUGACGGGUAGCCGGCCUGAGAGGGUGACCGGCCACAUUGGGACGGAAAUACGGCCCAGACUCCUACGGGAGGCAGCAGGGGGGAAUAUUGCACAAUGGGCGGAAGCCGGAUGCAGCAACGCCGCGUGCGGGAUGACGGCCUUCGGGUUGUAAACCGCUUUCGCCUGUGACGAAGCGUGAGUGACGGUAAUGGGUAAAGAAGCACCGGCUAACUACGUG
rnacentral:rRNA from 1 species